GACGAACCGUGCGAACGUUAUUCGGAAUCACUGGGCUUAAAGCGUGUGUAGGCGGGCGGGCAAGUACCUUGUGAAAUCCCACGGCUCAACCGUGGAACGGCUGGGUAUACUGCCUGUCUUUGAGCCAACUAGGGGCGAGCGGAACAGACGGUGGAGCGGUGAAAUGCGUAGAUAUCGUCUGGAACGCCGAAGGUGAAAACAGCUCGCUGGGGUUGUGCUGACGCUGAGACACGAAAGCCAGGGGAGCGAACGGG
rnacentral:rRNA from 1 species